ensembl:snRNA U1 U1 spliceosomal RNA
AUACUUACCUGGCAGGGGAGAUACCAUGAUUACGAAGGUGGUUUUCCCAGGACUAGGCUUAUCCAUUGCACUCCGGAUGUGCUGACUCCUGCGAUUUUCCCAAAUGCGAGAAAUUGGCUUGCAGAAUUUGUAGUAGUGGGGGACUGUGUUUGCGCUUUCCUCUG